GCCUGUACGUGCUGGGAUGGGGUCGUCGUGGUCGUGGGAGGGAGAAAAAGAAAGCGGAAAGCAAAGGAAAAGGAGAUGCAUGGUGUGGGAGAAAAGACCAAUCUAGGAGUAUAUAUCUUCCUCCCUGCUAGUGCUAGGCCACCUCCCUCCCAACAACAAGCCAACAAGCUAGCCUCGCCUCGCCCCCGCUCUCUCCGCCUCAGCCCCUCCCUUCCCUCAACUCCUGCUAGCUCUCUCUCUCUCACACACACACUAGCUGGAGUAGCAAGCUAGCUAGGCUCCUCGCUUCCAAGCGAGAAUUGCGGCGGCCCUCCUCGAUUUCCAUACUCGUUCCCCCAACCGAACCACAGGCACACACCUACGACGCGGCCACACCCUCCUCCGCCGAUCCCUUCUAUAUACGACGACGACGACGACGAGAAGAUAGACACCAAGCAGCCGGCUUUCUCGUCAUACAGACCGAGAGAAUGGAGCUGUUCCCUGCGCACCCAGACUUGCAGCUGCAGAUCAGCCCUCCUCCCCCAGCCACCAAGCCAAUGGAGCUAGGGUUUUGGAAGAGGGCUCUAGUCGACACCACCACCUCGCCUGCGACUGCAACAGCCGUGGCGGCAGCCACGACGGCCACCACGGCCACCUCCCACGCCUUCGCCUCCUCGGCGCCGACAUCCGCCGUGGGAUACCACCACGCGGCGGUCGGCGCGCACCACCAUCAGGUGCCGGUGCCGGUGCCGGCGGGCUCCCACUCCCACUCCCACCUGGGCCUCCCGCUCUUGCACCACACCCAUCCCAUCCUCCCGGCGGCGGAGUCUGGCGGCGUCCUCCGCCGGCCGGACCUGGGCUCCACGAGGCCCAUCCGGGGCAUCCCCGUGUACAGCACCUCGCAGCAGCCGCUCCCGUUCCUGCAGAGCCACCCGCAUUAUUGCUGCGACGCGAUCGCCGGCGCGGGCCACCCGAGGUCCCCCAAGGCCGCGCUCCGCCUCGCGGGGGCGCCGGCCAAGCGGGGCGCGCGCGCCCCCCGGAUGCGGUGGACCACGUCGCUGCACGCGCGCUUCGUCCACGCCGUCGAGCUGCUCGGGGGCCACGAGAGAGCUACACCCAAGUCGGUUCUUGAGCUAAUGGACGUGAAGGAUCUGACGUUGGCCCAUGUCAAGUCGCACUUGCAGAUGUAUCGGACCAUCAAGACUACUGACCACAGGCCAGCCUCUGCUUCAUCCUACGGGCAAGCGGGUGGUGCGAAGACGAUCAUCGACAUCCCCGACGACGACAGCAGCCUGUUCGACCUCACCAAUACCACCACCACCACCAGCGGGUCCGAGUCGUCCGCCCAGCACUCCAAUCCGCCUGACGGCAGCGAGCAUAAUGGCGCCAGCACGUGUGCUCUCUGGUGCAACGCCUCGAUAAGCGGCAGAGGGGCCGCCUGCUGGUUCGUCCGUGACAAAUCAAGAGAUGCCACUCCGGGCGACAUCAAAUCCUUCGAGGUACGUAGACGCAGCCUCCCUCCUCUCUUUUUUUUUCUCUCUCUUCCCACUCGUCUAAACCAAUUAGUCCAUCCAUCAUUAUCUCCAAUACGUACCUCGCCGACGCCGAUGGCCGGCCGGGCGGCCAUGAUGCCGUGCUAGGUAGCUAAGUUUUAGAGCAACAGCGAUCAUUCGUUUCCAUGCGCUUUUCGACGUACGGCGGCGUGCCCUCUGUUGAACUUUCAUCAAUGCAUUUUGUCGGCAGCACACGUUUCAUUUUGGAGCCGACGUGCAAUCACAGAGCCUUGAUGACGAUGUCUCUGACCUGAACUUGUCGGCGCCGUUCCAAGUAGCUGCUGCGACGAUGUUUGGCGGAGGCAACAAACCGAACCUCGACUUCACCCUAGGACGGAUAUAAUAAUCCGCCGCGCGCGCGCCAUCUACAUAUGGAUGAGUUGAUCGAUGAAGCUGGACCAUGCAUGCGGAUAAGAGAUCGACAGGCUAGAUCGAGCUAGCUAGCUGCAUAUAUAGAUUGAUUUGCUUGCAUUGUAACGACCAGCCAUAUUUAAUUAUGAUCUGAUGGUGCAUAUAUAUACGCAUGCAUGUAUAUAUGGUCGUAGGGACGGAGAGGGAGUUGAGCAAAUGAAAAGAGAGAGGCUAGAAGUAAAGAAUAAUAAGAGAUAAGACUAGCGUCGAUCCAGGAACAAAGCUAGCGCAAAAGGAGACGGGCGGGAGAGACAUUGGGGCGUGCGUGCGUGUGCUCGCUGUUGUGCAGUGUAGUAGACACGAUAGAUAGCUCGAUAGGCUUUAUCAAAGGCAGCAAGCAAGGGCAAGAGGGUAGCUUGCUUGCUUGCCUCUCUGCCUGCCUCUGCUGCCCAUCAAAGGGCAUAUGCAUGUAUGCAUAUAUGCUCAUUGCUGGCUUCUGGUUCUGGAUGUGGUGUACACAUGCGCGAGAGGGAGAGAGGUGCAUGUGCAGCAUGUGUGUGUGUACCAGCAGACGCAUCAGGUACUACCUAGUUUGUAGCUAGGGGCCGGUUGGCUGGACAAGGUUUAACAAAAGGUUGCUUCAUUUAUCUCUUA